rnacentral:rRNA from 1 species
AUUGAACGCUGGCGGCAGGCCUAACACAUGCAAGUCGAACGAGUGGCGGACGGGUGAGUAAUGUCUGGGAAACUGCCUGAUGGCGGGGGAUAACUACUGGAAACGGUAGCUAAUACCGCAUACCAUCAGAUGUGCCCAACUUGGAUUAGCUUGUUGGUGGGGUAACGGCGCACCAAGGCGACGAUCCCUAGCUGGUCUGAGAGGAUGACCGCACACGCUGGAACGGAGACACGGCCCAGACUCUUACGGGAGGGAGCAGUGGGGAAUAUUGGACAAUGGGCGCAAGCCUGAUGCAGCCAGACCGCGUGUAUGAAGAAGGCCUUCGGGUUGUAAAGUUCUGUCAGCGGGGAGGCGUUACCCGCAGAAUAAGCACCGGCUAACUACGUGCCAGCCGCCGCGGUAAUAC